AUACUCGCUUCGGUAGCACAUAUACUAAAAUUAGUACUAUACAGAGAAGAGUAGCAUUGCCCCUGCACAGGAUGAUACACAAAUUAGUCAAGUGUUUUGCCUUUUU
ensembl:snRNA U6 U6 spliceosomal RNA